ensembl:lncRNA
CUCCAAUUCAUUCUCUUCUUCAACAAGGAGAACUGUUUCAUUGAGCCUUCUCGUGGAUUCUGUUAACCAUGGCUUCAAGGCGGAAAAGAUUGCUGUCUAUAGAGUGGCAAGAAGUAACUGUGGGAGCACAGAUAAUGCUUGUGGUAUUUAGCUGGUGCCACCUGAGUUCUGCCCAGAACCUCAGUUCCAUUUAAAUGCACUGCCAAACAAGUGUGCUACUGACAAAUGUGUAACAAGGGACUCAUGAAAGUAGCUCCACAGUAGAUGGGAACAAAAGCCAGUAUCUGCCAAUGAAGACCAACUCCCUGUGCUGAUCGAUAGAGCAUGGAAUUUCCCAAGCCAGGCAGCAGGUGGAACCAAACCUCACACCUUGAGGUGCAGAGCCAACUGCUGAACACCUCAGUGGUGUGUACCCAAAAGAUGGAGCUAAACAUCUCCAAACAGCUGGAAGAGAAGAAGGUUAUCAGGAGUAGUCAACAUGGAUUGACCAAGGGGAAAUCAUGUUUGAGCACCUUGGUAGCCUUCUAUGUCAUCACUGGCCGGGUGGGUGGAAGCAGAGCAGUGGAUGCUGCAUACCUUGACUUCAGCAAGGUAUUAGACACUGUCUCCCACAGCGUCCUUGUAAUGAAGCUCUUGAAAUGUGGGAUAGAUGAGUGGACAGUGAGGUGGGUUGAGAACUGGCUGACUGGCAGAGCUCAGAGAGUCAUGAUCAGCAGCACAGAGUCUGGUUGGCGGCCUGUUUUUAGUGGUGUUCCCCAGGGGUUGGUGCUGGGUCCAGUCUUGUUCAACAUCUCCAUCAAUGACCUGGAGGAAGGGAUAGAGUCCACCCUCAGAAAAUUUGCUGACGAUGCAAAGCUGGGAGGAAUGGCUGACACACCCAAAGGCUGUGCUGCCAUUCAGCAAGACCUGGACAGGCUGGAGAGUUGGGCAGGGAGGAACCUGAUGAGCUUCAACAAGAGCAAGUGUAGAGUCUUGCAACUGGGGAGGAAUAACUGCACACAUCAGCAUAAGUCAGGGGUGAUCUGCUGGAAAGGCAGUUCAGUCUCCUUCUAUGGAGAUAUUCCAGAGCCAUCUGGACAGCCACCUGUGUGACCUGCUGUAGGAACCUGCUUUAGCAGGGGGUUGGACUCGAUGAUCUCUAGAGGUCUGUUCCAACCCCUGCAGUUCUGGGAUUCUGUGUAAACAACAGCCCCGGUGGGUCACAGAGCUACAGUUCCUUCUGACGGUGAGAGACACGCAGUGCACUGCACCCAGUGCCCCAUGGCCAGGCUCCGUCCUGUGCUGAGGGAAUAAGGACACUGACCGGGCAGGAAUUUAUGUUCUUUUUGAAUGGUGGUAAGGACACCAUUUACACAGACAAACACUCAGGCCCAAAACAGCCCAUAGAGGGGCAGGUGACAGCAACGUGCUCCUCUGCUAUGCGUGAGCCCCGUAUUAAACAGACGAACGUGUCAGUGCUUCCUUCGGACCGGGCAGAGAAGCCCGCAAGUGGACAAAUGGCACAUUAUAAAAGUACAUCACAGCUGCUGCUUCUGUUGUUUUGCUGCUGGAGGAGCCCGAGCCUCCCUCACUUCAGCCCGCCGCGCAGAGCGGACGA